rnacentral:rRNA from 1 species
GUUGAACGCUGGCGGCGUGCCUAAUACAUGCAAGUCGAGCGAACGGACGAGAAUCUUGCUUUUCUGAUGUUAGCGGCGGACGGGUGAGUACCACGUGGAUAACCGACCUAUAGGACUAGGAUAACUUCGGGAACCCGGAGCUAAUACCGGAUAAUAUUUUGAACCGCAUGGUUCAAAGGUGAAAGAGGGUCUUGCUGUCACUUAUAGAUGUAUCCGCGCUGCAUUAGCUAGUUGGUAAGGUAACGGCUUACCAAGGCAACGAUGCAUAGCCGACCUGAGAGGGUGAUCGGCCACACUGGAACUGAGACACGGUCCAGACUCCUACGGGAGGCAGCAGUAGGGAAUCUUCCGCAAUGGGCGAAAGCCUGACGCAGCAACGCCGCGUGAGUGAUGAAGGUCUUCGGAUCGUAAAACUCUGUUAUUAGGGAAGAACAUAUGUGUAAGUAAAUGUGCACAUCUUGACGGUACCUAAUCAGAAAGCCACGGCUAACUACGUG